UUUUUUUUUUUUUUUUUUGGUUUUAAUGGAUUUGGAUCUGAGUUUUGGAACGGUAAGAUUCUGUGUGCUUAAUCAUUUUAUUCAAAGUAUUAUGAUAUAUUCCUUAAUAUCUUGAAUUUUAUGCAUGUUUUCAUGUUAGGGUAGUAGAUCUUUGCAGAAGGGUUGGUUUUCCUAUGGGUUAUCAGUUCUAGGGUUUUCAAGAAACUUUUCUUUUAUCUUGGAAGGUGUUUGUUUUCAGGAAAAACCAAGAAAGUGAAUUGGAAUUUACUCUUUUUAUGUUAAUUGGGCUAGUUUAUGAAUUGCAUGUUGAAAAUAUAUUUGAAAAGCACAUAUGAAGUGGGGAUUUUUGUUUUAAAGGAUCUUAAACAUGGUACUGGGAGAU
rnacentral:misc_RNA from 1 species